rnacentral:rRNA from 1 species
GUAGGUGGCAAGCGUUGUCCGGAAUUAUUGGGCGUAAAGCGCGCGCAGGUGGUUCUUUAAGUCUGAUGUGAAAGCCCCCGGCUCAACCGGGGAGGGUCAUUGGAAACUGGGGAACUUGAGUGCAGGAGAGGAAAGUGGAAUUCCACGUGUAGCGGUGAAAUGCGUAGAUAUGUGGAGGGACACCAGUGGCGAAGGCGACUUUCUGGCCUGUAACUGACACUGAGGCGCGAAAGCGUGGGGAGCAAACAGGGAUUAGAUACCCUGGUAGUCCACGCCGUAAACGAUGAGUGCUAAGUGUUGGGGGGGUUUCCCGCCCCUCAGUGCUGCAGCUAACGCAUUAAGCACUCCGCCUGGGGAGUACGGUCGCAAGACUG